GUUGCCUCCAGAAUAACUAAACGGUGAUUAAAAAUACGAUGCCGUUUGGUUCAGACAGGGGCACACAGUAAGUAAUCCGAAUCCGUUUGAGGGAAAGGAACGCCUUUCUUAGGCUCUUCAUGUUCCUUUCCUAUACAGCUUCUGAGCUUCGGAUAUAU